UGUUCUACUUCAAUAUAUUGCUUAUGACUUUGCUCUAUUUGCUUAUAUUCAAGAUUAUAUUGUUCUUAGUUUAUCAUAGUUGUGUACUUGGCUUAGUUAGAUUUGAUCUAUAUACAUGCUUAGGAUCGUAUAGCGUUUAUCCAUUGGAUCCAUGGGUAAAUGAUAGAUAUUGUGUAGGCGUGGUGCUUAUACCGUAUUUAUCUGCGAUUGUACCCAAUAUGCCAGAUCGUGGGGUAGUUCGCGAUAGUGAUAGCUUCAUUGAUUCUUAUAUAGACCCCCUCUCGUGUAUUGGGCUGGCAGAGCAACAUUAUUAAAGGGGAGUGAUUGCUAUGUUUCUCAUAUUCCUUACUAAUAUCACUAUGCAUGGGCGUAGUCUUGUCUCGCAAUGAUUGCUAAGUAUGCUUGCACUAACUAUGAUAUCCUAGACUAUAUAGUUAAGAAUAACUUAGGGAAUAUUCUUGUAGUUCGUUCUAAUACCAUGCUAAUGACUUUCUAGAGUAUCUAAUUGAGGUGCUUAUCAUAUUUAUUAUGUGGCUAGAUUAGAUUAGUUAUUCUUGUCACUAUUAUUAUUUCAUAUAUUUUUUAUAUGACACUUAUCCCUGUAUGAAGAGUUAGAUAUAAUGUUCUCAAUUAUACAUGCAAUGAUAGAUGCUCAAUCUCAUAUUCUAGUCUGUAAUCAAUAUUGAUGAUUGCUAAUCCC
rnacentral:lncRNA from 1 species